UUGGCCAGGGUCAUUAAGGA
rnacentral:misc_RNA from 1 species